rnacentral:piRNA from 1 species
UGGACGUCUGUGGGCUGAUAAGAAGAA